rnacentral:rRNA from 1 species
CCUACGGGUGGCAGCAGUGGGGAAUAUUGCACAAUGGGGGAAACCCUGAUGCAGCGACGCCGCGUGAAGGAUGAAGUAUUUCGGUAUGUAAACUUCUAUCAGCAGGGAAGAAAGUGACGGUACCUGACUAAGAAGCCCCGGCUAACUACGUGCCAGCAGCCGCGGUAAUACGUAGGGGGCAAGCGUUAUCCGGAUUUACUGGGUGUAAAGGGAGCGUAGACGGGAUAGCAAGUCUGAAGUGAAAGCCCGGGGCUCAACCCCGGGACUGCUUUGGAAACUGUUGACCUGGAGUGCUGGAGAGGCAAGUGGAAUUCCUAGUGUAGCGGUGAAAUGCGUAGAUAUUAGGAGGAACACCAGUGGCGAAGGCGGCUUGCUGGACAGUGACUGACGUUGAGGCUCGAAAGCGUGGGGAGCAAACAGGAUUAGAUACCCCUGUAGUC